GCCCUGCUUCCAGGAAAAGCCUCUAAGCAUCAGGUAACAUCAAAUCGUACCCCAAACCGACACAGGUGGUCAGGUAGAGAAUACCAAGGCGCUUGAGAGAACUCGGGUGAAGGAACUAGGCAAAAUGGUGCCGUAACUUCGGGAGAAGGCACGCUGACACGUAGGUGAAGUGAUUUACUCAUGGAGCUGAAGUCAGUCGAAGAUACCAGCUGGCUGCAACUGUUUAUUAAAAACACAGCACUGUGCAAACACGAAAGUGGACGUAUACGGUGUGACGCCUGCCCGGUGCCGGAAGGUUAAUUGAUGGGGUCAGCGCAAGCGAAGCUCCUGAUCGAAGCCCCGGUAAACGGCGGCCGUAACUAUAACGGUCCUAAGGUAGCGAAAUUCCUUGUCGGGUAAGUUCCGACCUGCACGAAUGGCGUAAUGAUGGCCAGGCUGUCUCCACCCGAGACUCAGUGAAAUUGAACUCGCUGUGAAGAUGCAGUGUACCCGCGGCAAGACGGAAAGACCCCGUGAACCUUUACUAUAGCUUGACACUGAACAUUGAGCCUUGAUGUGUAGGAUAGGUGGGAGGCUUUGAAGUGUGGACGCCAGUCUGCAUGGAGCCGGCCUUGAAAUACCACCCUUUAAUGUUUGAUGUUCUAACGUGGACCCGUGAUCCGGGUUGCGGACAGUGUCUGGUGGGUAGUUUGACUGGGGCGGUCUCCUCCUAAAGAGUAACGGAGGAGCACGAAGGUUGGCUAAUCCUGGUCGGACAUCAGGAGGUUAGUGCAAUGGCAUAAGCCAGCUUGACUGCGAGCGUGACGGCGCGAGCAGGUGCGAAAGCAGGUCAUAGUGAUCCGGUGGUUCUGAAUGGAAGGGCCAUCGCUCAACGGAUAAAAGGUACUCCGGGGAUAACAGGCUGAUACCGCCCAAGAGUUCAUAUCGACGGCGGUGUUUGGCACCUCGAUGUCGGCUCAUCACAUCCUGGGGCUGAAGUAGGUCCCAAGGGUAUGGCUGUUCGCCAUUUAAAGUGGUACGCGAGCUGGGUUUAGAACGUCGUGAGACAGUUCGGUCCCUAUCUGCCGUGGGCGCUGGAGAACUGAGGGGGGCUGCUCCUAGUACGAGAGGACCGGAGUGGACGCAUCACUGGUGUUCGGGUUGUCAUGCCAAUGGCACUGCCCGGUAGCUAAAUGCGGAAGAGAUAAGUGCUGAAAGCAUCUAAGCACGAAACUUGCCCCGAGAUGAGUUCUCCCUGAGACUUAGAGUCUCCUGAAGGAACGUUGAAGACGACGACGUUGAUAGGCCGGGUGUGUAAGCGCAGCGAUGCGUUGAGCUAACCGGUACUAAUGAACCGUGAGGCUUAACCUU
rnacentral:rRNA from 2 species